UACGUAGGGGGCAAGCGUUGUCCGGAUUUAUUGGGCGUAAAGAGCGUGUAGGCGCCAGACAGGUCCGUUGUGAAAACUCGAGGCUCAACCUCGAGACGCCGAUGGAAACCGUCUGGCUAGAGUCCGGAAGAGGAGAGUGGAAUUCCUGGUGUAGCGGUGAAAUGCGCAGAUAUCAGGAAGAACACCCGUGGCGAAGGCAGCCCCCCUGGGCUGACACUGACGCUCAGGCACGAAAGCGUGGGGAGCAAACAGG
rnacentral:rRNA from 1 species